GUCAAUGGGAGGCAUGCCUGUCUGAGCGUCGUUUAAACCAUGAUCCCUUCUGGGGGUCGUAUUGGGUUUCGCCUCUGCCGGCGUCUCCUCAAAGUAAUCGUGUCUCAGAGCGGACGAGAUCCAUUAGGACGGAACGUUCGAGGACCCUAAACACUCUCUGACUUGACCUCAGAUCAGGUAGGACUACCGCCUGAACUUAA
rnacentral:misc_RNA from 1 species